rnacentral:rRNA from 1 species
GAUGAACGCUGGCGGCGUGCCUAAUACAUGCAAGUCGAGCGAACAGAUGAGGAGCUUGCUCCUCUGACGUUAGCGGCGGACGGGUGAGUAACACGUGGAUAACCUACCUAUAAGACUGGGAUAACUUCGGGAAACCGGAGCUAAUACCGGAUAAUAUAUUGAACCGCAUGGUUCAAUAGUGAAAGACGGUUUUGCUGUCACUUAUAGAUGUAUCCGCGCCGCAUUAGCUAGUUGGUAAGGUAACGGCUUACCAAGGCAACGAUGCGUAGCCGACCUGAGAGGGUGAUCGGCCACACUGGAACUGAGACACGGUCCAGACUCCUACGGGAGGCAGCAGUAGGGAAUCUUCCGCAGUGGGCGAAAGCCUGACGGAGCAACGCCGCGUGAGUGAUGAAGGUCUUCGGAUCGUAAAACGCUGUUAUUAGGGAAGAACAAAUGUGUAAGUAACGAUGCACGUCUUGACGGUACCUAAUCAGAAAGCCACGGCUAACUACGU